rnacentral:rRNA from 1 species
AUUGUAAUGCAUACAAUGUUAAUGCAUUGGAUCCCAUUAUAACUCCAUAGUUAAGUACACUUGGGCUAGAGUAGUACUGAUAUGGGUGACAUCCUGGGAAGUCCUAGAGUUUUAAAUG